rnacentral:lncRNA from 1 species
GGAGCUACUGCAGGUUUCGGAGGAGGGAUGUGGCAUGUGUUUUCAUAGUUUGAUCACAGAAUGCAGCAGUUCAAUUGGAUUCUGGAACAUACGCCAGUUGGAUCUAUAGAAGAAGAUGGUUGUGGUGGAGAUUGCCAGGUGUCUCACGCCAGCCAAAGAAACAUUUGCUAUCUGCCAUUUCUACAAAUUGGCUACUAAAAAAGGAAGCAGCAUUUGGAUAAGCUGGUACUUUCAGCACAGUAACUCUUGAAACAGAACUUCUUGGGUGUACAUUUGGAGGAAAGUUGAUCUGGAGCCUAUGGAGUGUCAUUGGAGCUGGGUGUGAUGUUUUUGAUGUCAUUGAGCAUCAGGCAUUGUCUAGAGUCUCCAAAUUUUGUGUCACGUUCUCUGUGGAAAUUGCAGCAAACAGGCACACGAUGUUUUGAAAGAAUCAGCCUCCUUGUGAAUUGCACUUCUUAAGGGUCAGCAUCUGAGAAAUUGCAGAGCAUGCAAAUGGAUUUGUCGGGAUUGCUGCAAUGUCCUGAAUUUGGUUCAGUGGGGGCCACAAAAUGUCCUGGUAGAAGAAAGAGUAUAGCUGGAAGUGGCAGCAAAAUUGACCACAUCCUGGAAUAAUUGUGCUUCCAGCAGAGUUCUGAUGCAGAUUGGAUGAAAGUGUCAUGCAGAUUUUAGAUUCUCACUACCAAUCAGUUAACAACAAUGGCCUUCAAAAGUUAUCAGGAGAGAACUGAGACAAUGAAGAUUCAAAGCUGCUAGUAGCCACUGGGAGGUCACAUCAAUCUCCUUAGAAAACAGUAAAAAUGGGAUUCAUUCGUCUGAUUUAUUCAUUCUUUUAACAAAUCUUUAUUUAGUCUAUAGCUACGAUGGCCUUGAGGACAAAAAUAAGAGCAGUUAAAACACUUUGGCUAGUUGGGGAAAGAGGAUAAGGCAGGAAAAAAGAAUGGAGUCAGAAGUGAUCUGGAGCCUGCUUAGGCUAAUGACAGUGUAUCUUUGAAUCAUCCCUUACAUCUUGCCCCCCAUUAAAUCCCGUAUUUAUUCCUUGAGAAGUUCUUGCAAGUACAUUAAUUUCUCCUUGUUUUGCCCGCUACCACAUUAGUCUGCAUCCAUCUAUACUUUACGCCU